CACCAGCCAACCAUUUUGUAUGAUAGUAUGUUGUUAUACAUAAUAAUGCCACGAACAAUGAUCGAAGUCUAAUCUAAAUCUUGUUUAAUUUAAAUUAGUUAUAAUAUACAACCUGCUGCAUAGAUUCAUUCAGUGAAAAAUCAUGAAUGAAAAUUUCGAUCCGCUGUACAAGAAAAGUGAAAUCGGGGUGGGGGGGUCGAUGAGCGACGUCAGGCCCUCCACCCUUUUCUUGCAUUUUUCUUGAUAUCUUCUUGAACGUGUAAUCACAUGCAAGUUCUUUUCUUACUGUUGUAGAUUACAGAGCGCCUUCGUGAUCCUCGUGGACUUCGAAGAGGAGGGUUAUCCGCCGCCGCCACUCCUCGCAAUUUCGUUGCAAGCGGUGCUCGUCCUCGUGGCCUUGUUCAACCGGCCGAUAGGAACAAUGCAGAAGAUCAACCUCCUGCAAAACGGCGGCUUUUGUCUGCUGUUGUUAAGGAGGAUGGAGAGAUCGUUGAGGAUUCUGCCACGGCAGAGGAUGCAAAGAACGAGCAAAUGGGUGAGGAUGGAAAUGUUGGGCCUGCUACAGGGAUUCGGGGUGAUGGAAAGCCUUUCAAGUUACAGCGAAGUGGUUGGCCUAGGAGAGAUUUGAUCUUAGAGCAGUGAAGAGGGUGAAUUUUAACUCUUGUCUUGUUUCUGAGUGUGUUUUAUGUGCGUUCAUCUUCUAAUUUUUCCCUGUUGUCAUGAUUGUUUUGUUUGGAGGUUGAAACUCCAGUAA